CCUACGGUGGGCUGCAGUGGGGGAUAUUGCUCACUGGGGGGAACCCUGAUGCAGCGACGCCGCGUGGGUGAAGGAGUGCUUCGGCAUGUAAAGCCCUAUCGGCAGGGAAGAAGCAAGACGGUACCUGACUAAGAAGCCCCGGCUAACUACGUGCCAGCAGCCGCGGUAAUACGUAGGGGGCGAGCGUUAUCCGGAUUCACUGGGUGUAAAGGGAGCGUAGACGGCCAUGCACGCCAGGGGUGCAAGCCCGGGGCCCAACCCCGGGACUGCCCUUGAAACUGGGCGGCUAGAGUGCGGGAGGGGCAGGCGGAAUUCGUGGUGUAGCGGUGAAAUGCGUAGAUAUCAGGAGGAACACCGGCGGCGAAGGCGGCCUGCUGGACCGCGACUGACGUUGAGGCUCGAAAGCGUGGGGAGCGAACAGGAUUAGAUACCCUAGGAGUC
rnacentral:rRNA from 1 species